rnacentral:rRNA from 1 species
GUGUCAGCAGCCGCGGUAAUACGGAGGGUGCAAGCGUUAUCCGGAUUUACUGGGUUUAAAGGGUGCGUAGGUGGGUCUGUAAGUCAGUGGUGAAAUCUCCGGGCUUAACCCGGAAAUUGCCAUUGAUACUAUAGGUCUUGAAUCAUCUGGAGGUAAGCGGAAUAUGUCAUGUAGCGGUGAAAUGCUUAGAUAUGACAUAGAACACCAAUUGCGAAGGCAGCUUACUACGGAUGUAUUGACACUGAGGCACGAAAGCGUGGGGAUCAAACAGGAUUAGAUACCCUCGUAGUCC